AACCAUGCAAGUCGAACGAACUCUUCGGAGUUAGUGGCGGACGGGUGAGUAACACGUGGGAACGUGCCUUUAGGUUCGGAAUAACUCAGGGAAACUUGUGCUAAUACCGAAUGUGCCCUUCGGGGGAAAGAUUUAUCGCCUUUAGAGCGGCCCGCGUCUGAUUAGCUAGUUGGUGAGGUAAAGGCUCACCAAGGCGACGAUCAGUAGCUGGUCUGAGAGGAUGAUCAGCCACAUUGGGACUGAGACACGGCCCAAACUCCUACGGGAGGCAGCAGUGGGGAAUCUUGCGCAAUGGGCGAAAGCCUGACGCAGCCAUGCCGCGUGAAUGAUGAAGGUCUUAGGAUUGUAAAAUUCUUUCACCGGGGACGAUAAUGACGGUACCCGGAGAAGAAGCCCCGGCUAACUUCGUGCCAGCAGCCGCGGUAAUACGAAGGGGGCUAGCGUUGCUCGGAAUUACUGGGCGUAAAGGGAGCGUAGGCGGACAUUUAAGUCAGGGGUGAAAUCCCGGGGCUCAACCUCGGAAUUGCCUUUGAUACUGGGUGUCUUGAGUAUGAGAGAGGUGUGUGGAACUCCGAGUGUAGAGGUGAAAUUCGUAGAUAUUCGGAAGAACACCAGUGGCGAAGGCGACACACUGGCUCAUUACUGACGCUGAGGCUCGAAAGCGUGGGGAGCAAACAGGAUUAGAUACCCUGGUAGUCCACGCCGUAAACGAUGAUUGCUAGUUGUCGGGAUGCAUGCAUUUCGGUGACGCACCUAACGCAUUAAGCAAUCCGCCUGGGGAGUACGGUCGCAAGAAUUAAAACUCAAAGGAAUUGACGGGGGCCCGCACAACCGGUGGACCAUGUGGUUUAAUUCAAACCAACGCGCAGAACCUUACCACCUUUUGACAUGCCUGGA
rnacentral:rRNA from 1 species